rnacentral:rRNA from 1 species
UCCGUAGGCGGUGCGGCAAGUCGGAAGUGAAAUCUCAGGGCUUAACCCUGAGGCUGCUUCCGAAACUGCCGUGCUCGAGUGCGAGAGAGGCGAGUGGAAUUGCAGGUGUAGCGGUGAAAUGCGUAGAUAUCUGCAGAAACAUCCGAGGCGAAAGCGGCUCGCUGGAUCGCAACUGACGCUGAGGGACGAAAGCUAGGGGAGCAAACAGGAUUAGAUACCCUGGUAGUCCUAGCCCUAAACGAUCAGGACUGGGCGUGGGCCUCGUACGGGGCUCGUGCCGCAGCUAACGCGUUAAGUCCUGCGCCUGGGGAGUACGGUCGCAAGGCUGAA